AGUGAACGCUGGCGGCAGGCCUAACACAUGCAAGUCGAACGGUAACAGGAAGAGGCUUUCCUCUUUGCUGACGAGUGGCGCGGGGGUGUGAAAUGUCUGUGAAACUGCCUGUUGGAGGGGGGUAACUACUGGAAACGGUAGCUAUAACCCCAUAAAGUCGCUAGAGCAGAGAGGGGGACCUUAGGGCCCCUUGCCCUCAUAAGUGCCCAGAUGUGAUUUGCUAGUGGGUGGGGUAAAGGCUCACCCAGGCGACGAUCCGUAGCUGGUCUGAGAGGAUGACCAGCCACACUGGAACUGAGACACGGUCCAGACUCCUACGGGAGGCAGCAGUGGGGAAUAUUGGACAAUGGGCGCAAGCCUGAUGCAGCCAUGCCGCGUGGAUGAAGAAGGCCUUCGGGUUGUAAAGUCCUUUCAGCGGGGAGGAAGGGAGUAAGGUUAAUACCUUGGCUCUUUGACGGUACCCGAAGAAGAAGCACCGGCUAACUCCGUG
rnacentral:rRNA from 1 species